rnacentral:rRNA from 1 species
UCGAGGUUAAAGGUACCCGUACCGCAAACCGACACAGGUGGGUGAGGAGAGUAUCCUAAGGCCAGCGAGAGAACUGUUGUUAAGGAACUCGGCAAAAUGACCCCGUAACUUAGGGAUAAGGGGUGCCGCCAUCAGGUGGCCGCAGAGAAUAGGCCCAAGCGACUGUUUACCAAAAACAUAGGUUUCUGCUAAGUCGCAAGACGAUGUAUAGGAGCUGACGCCUGCCCGGUGCUGGA